UACGAAGGGGGCUAGCGUUGUUCGGAUUUACUGGGCGUAAAGCGCACGUAGGCGGUUUGUUAAGUGAGAGGUGAAAUCCCAGAGCUCAACUCUGGAACUGCCUUUCAUACUGGCAAGCUAGAGUCCGGAAGAGGUAAGUGGAACUCCUAGUGUAGAGGUGGAAUUCGUAGAUAUUAGGAAGAACACCCGUGGCUAAGGCGGCUCUCUAGUACGGUACUGACGCUGAGACGGCGAAAGCGUGGGGAGCGAACAGG
rnacentral:rRNA from 1 species